rnacentral:rRNA from 1 species
UACGUAGGGUGCAAGCGUUACUCGGAAUUACUGGGCGUAAAGCGUGCGCAGGCGGCCAUGUAAGACAGAGGUGAAAUCCCCGGGCUCAACCUGGGAACUGCCUUUGUGACUGCAUGGCUAGAGUACGGUAGAGGGAGAUGGAAUUCCGCGUGUAGCAGUGAAAUGCGUAGAUAUGCGGAGGAACACCAAUGGCGAAGGCAAUCUCCUGGACCUGUACUGACGCUCAUGCACGAAAGCGUGGGGAGCAAACAGG